rnacentral:misc_RNA from 1 species
AUUACCAUAAGAUAACCGUCAUAAUCGAAAUUUAGUACGUUCUGUUCUAUAUUUAUUUAAACAGGCUUACGUGUGUUACCUUACAAGUUAAAUUACUAAAGACACGGAAUGCAAUAGUUAGGUAGCACUCACAUCGGCUUAAGAUUAAGCAGUAUUCAAGGGAGUUUAGGCAUGGAACAGCUUGUUAUGAAAACAAGAGGCAAAAUAAAGCAACUGGUUUUACUACUCGUAUAUAUGUUACUAGUUGGCACAGAAGCAGAAAUCACCUCUGCAGAGUCAUGGGGCGAUCCAGAAAUUACUACCGUUGACCAGCAUACGUAUUCAUUCAAUGGUCAUGGAGAAUACACCUUUCUCGAAACAAGCAAUCAAUCACUACAGAUUCAAGCCCGCACUGAUUUCAUGAUCGAAGGGAAUACAGACGCAACGAUAUUCGUCGCCUUCGUUCUUGCAGAUAACCUAAAGAAUGACACAGUUACAAUAGUGUACAACAGAACAGAUAGACUAUUGUAUCUGUAUCAACAUGAUGGAUCGUUGUGGACUAACUCUAAUGGAAGAAAACAUCCAGAACCAUCAACUAACAGGGGAUUUAUACUUGUUUGUACUCCUCCAUAUGGCUUUAUUGUAAUGCCAACACAAAGAAUAAGCAUCAGAAAGUUAACCUUUAGCGGACACAAUUUUAUGGGUAUUACUGUCGAUACUUAUGGAAGGGAUGUAAUUGACUUAAAAGGUCUAGCAGGGAACUUGGUUCAAGGAUAUUUUAUCGCCGGAAAUGGAAGCAAAGUCAAAAGUAAUUCUACCGAGCGACAGAUGUUUGAAUUUGGUGAAACAUGGACAGUUUCAGAAAGUGAAAGUAAAUUCAACUAUUCUAUUACUGGAGGUAAUUAUACAUUUUGGAACGGACGCCAUCAUGUGCCGAAAUUCUUACAGGAUAUUGCAGAGAAAGGCGAUCUGCUUCAUUUAUUUGAAGGCUUUUCAGAUGCUAACAUAACACUUUUCAAUGAAACGUGUAGAAAUUCUUGGGACAUGCAGCCUAACAUCCAAUGUCUGGUUGUUAUUGGAACAACAGAAGAUGUUACUCUUGGGCAAGCUGUAAUGAAAGCUGCAGAGGAAAGACACUACAAGUAUUUACUACAACAUAACAAACCUCCACAUUUCAAAAACAAUACCCCGACUUUUCUGAAUGUAACCUUGGGAACCAAUUUAAAGAUACUUGACGUGAAACUGUACGUAACCGACGACUUUGAUGAUCCAGAUGAAAUGACGUACAAUGUUAUAACACAAGUGAAAAAUUACACAUUUAAUAAUGGCAGUUUUACCUGGAAUGUUGGCACAUAUCUAAGAUACAGCGACAGCAGUUUGACAUUUACUGUGAAUGACACGCUAGGAUUUUCAGCGGCAAGAGCAAUGAUAAUUUAUUACUGCGGAUGUGAGAACCCGUCACAGUGUGAUUUUAGGUCGUUUAAUAAAAAUUCUUCAGCGACAAUACAGAAAGCAGCUUGCAAGUGUCCUGCAUACUCCGGAGGCUUAUACUGCGAAGUACAGUUAGAUCCUUGUAAAGAUUACACAUGUUACGAGAAUAAUUGCAAUGGAUAUUUCAAUCGCAAUAGCCCAGCGUGGCCGUGUGCAGAUUGUCCAGAAGGAAAAACAAACCUGAUCGCUUCCUAUAAACAAACUUGUGAAAAUAUAAACGAGUGUACAGUUGGUCCUAAUCCUUGCGGACAAAUUUGCAAUGACACGGAUGGCUCAUAUAAAUGUUAUUGUAAAGAAGGGUUCACGUUAAAUAUAGAUGGUCAUAAAUGUGAUGAUAUAGACGAAUGCAAGUUACCUCAAUCAAAAUGCACAGGAGAGAAUGAGGUGUGUCUGAAUACCGAAGGAAAUUUUAGUUGCAUUUGUAAGCCAGGAUAUAGCAAGAAAAAUGGUGCAUGCGAACAAAAAGGGGGUUCCACAACUGUUGGACAUAUGUCUUUUACUAUCUCGGCGAACGCUGAACAUGUUUCUGAAAUAAACAAGACUAUUGAUACUUAUCAUAACAGAAAAGAGAUCCAAGACAAGCUUGCAGCAAGAUUUAAUAACACGAAGGGGUUUUUGAGUUUGGAAGUUUUUCGACUGAGUUUGAUAAUCCACCAGGGAAAUCAAAUAAGACCUCAGGCUGGUCGGUAUGAUGUUCGUGCAGAUUACGUUGUUUUCUGGAAAAAUGAAACUGACAUUAAAAAUAUAGGUUGAAAUGCAUGAAGAAACACCUUUAAUCAUGUAGUGAAUGGCAGAAUGGAAGAAAAUAUACAAAGUUCUGAAACGUUCAGUUCGGAGUAUAUGACACAAACUAGAAGAAUCUAAACGAAUGCGACGCCUUUAAAAAGAAUGGUACAAUUGGAGAGCGAUGUGUACAUGGUUUCUGUUAUAACAGUGUAGAAUCUUGGAAUUGUAGCUGUCCAGCUGGCAGACAAUGGCAAGACGUUGGAAAUGCAAC